UGAACGCUGGCGGUAGGCCUAACACAUGCAAGUCGAACGGCAGCACAGUAAGAGCUUGCUCUUACGGGUGGCGAGUGGCGGACGGGUGAGGAAUACAUCGGAAUCUACUUUUUCGUGGGGGAUAACGUAGGGAAACUUACGCUAAUACCGCAUACGACCUACGGGUGAAAGCAGGGGAUCUUCGGACCUUGCGCGAUUGAAUGAGCCGAUGUCGGAUUAGCUAGUUGGCGGGGUAAAGGCCCACCAAGGCGACGAUCCGUAGCUGGUCUGAGAGGAUGAUCAGCCACACUGGAACUGAGACACGGUCCAGACUCCUACGGGAGGCAGCAGUGGGGAAUAUUGGACAAAGGGCGCAAGCCUGAUCCAGCCAUACCGCGUGGGUGAAGAAGGCCUUCGGGUUGUAAAGCCCUUUUGUUGGGAAAGAAAAGCAGCAGGUUAAUACCCCGCUGUUCUGACGGUACCCAAAGAAUAAGCACCGGCUAACUUCGUG
rnacentral:rRNA from 1 species